rnacentral:rRNA from 1 species
GUCUAUGGCCCAGCACCCUGAACGCCCUGGAUCUCGUGUGAUCUCGGAAGCUAAGCAGGGUCGGCCUGGUUGUACUUGGAUGGGAGACGCUCGGGAAUCGCGGUGCGUAGGCU